CUGCGAGUCGGAGACGUGACGUGUGCGGUGAUUUGCGCACACUGAGCGUGUUGUGGAGGAAACUUUGUUUGUUUCGUACUCGCAGGCUGUAGUGAACUGCAUACAUGAAGCUGUAAUGUCUUAUUUGCACUGCAGAGCGAUUUAUUCUAUUUUGCGGGGUGGCUUGCUGGCGGGACGCCCGGUGGAAUCAGAGCCAAAGCAUGUGUCAGGAGACUGAGCAAGGUGAGCGGAGACUGAGACAGGUUUACAUGUCUCUUUGAGUCACCCCUCAGGCAGCAGCGCCUCUGCAUUCACCAGAAUACUGCAAACAAUGGCAUACACAUUUACUCUAUCUGAACUGUCUCCAGAAACAGCCCUGAUGCAUGUCUGUGGCUCUGGCUGUGAACGCGCCCCGUCGAAGGAUUUCACCUCAAACCACAAGGGAAAAAACAGCUCUUAAUGUCGCUGGUCCGCCGCUCGUGUGUGCAGGAGCUGACGGCUGCAGGCCAGAGCGACUGGCCGUGUCAAGCGAGGGUUUUUUGCUGUCAUGUUAUCUCUAGAGUCCUGUUUCACGUCGAUGUGCACGCUCACCAAAAACACAUCGCUGGAAACGCUUGGCCUCGAGCUACUUUCCCAUCCAGCUGCGAUGUCGAAAGCACAUUUGACUUCUGCUAGUUUUCAAGCUUUCAGUAUCAUGUCAUUUCAGAACGGCUAUAGCUUGUAAUUGAUAUCGUCUCAAAGGUCCCAUUCUUUCUGUACUUGCUCUUGAGUGUGCUGCAAUUUUAAGGAGCUUAUUUGAGCUACUUAACUUGGAAGUACGAAAACAGUGUUGUGGAGUCACAUUUUUUCAAAAGCCACUUUUUUUCUUCUUUGAGAACAUUGUAAUCCAUCAAAUCUUAGUAGUUAAAAGAGAAGCUGUGUGCAUGUUUACACACACAUUUACUUGGAGGCAUACCAGACUUAUGUUGUUUUUAUGAAAAGCUAAUUAUGACAACAGUCUAACCAAAAUCCUUCAUUUU